AGACAGCUAGCUAGACAAUCAGUUUUCUCUUGCACAACUAUUUUACAGCGGCUCCUUUGCGGAGGUUAGUGCUGCCCAUGACAAUUGUGAUUGGUUUAAAGUAUAGUGGACUGGCCAGACCCUCCUCCGUGCUGUUGUGUGUGUGUGUGUGUGUGGACUGUCUGGCAAAGCGAGACUAAUGCAAGUGUAACCCACAUUUUCAGGCCCCUACUGCACCAGCGGUUCUUUACCAAUGUUGUGUUUACUGGGUUGGGUUGCAUCAGAAAAGAGAGCCUUGCCAGAAAUCUCUUGACGGGACAGAUGAAGAGGCUGGUCCUCGUUAAUUUUUAAUAGAACUCCCAGCUGACUCUUGGAUAUGGGAUGGUGACGUGUCUUCUAAACGGCUGCUGCAAAGAGGACACUAACAAACGGCUUACACAAUUGAAGGACACCGAUGAUUUCCGCGAUGACAUCAUCCACACCAUAAACACACAGGAAAUGCUGGGCGGCUCCUCCCCAAACAUUCCUGAAUGUUGGACCAAACCAUGGAACAAACCAAAGAAAUAAAAAUCUUCUCUGAUGCAAGAACUACAAGAUUUAUUGGAGUAAAAGGGUGGUUUUAAUUGACUCUACCAUGACGAUUCUGCUGAGGCCAAAACCUGCGAGGGAUCUCUGAUUUCCAUCUAUGCAGUUGCGGCAGAUAUGGAGGAAAACAGUUUGGGCAGUGGCCCGUUCUCUUGGGGAAAAAUGGAACCAGAGGGCAGAGAGCUGCUGAAUGACCCAUAUUGCCACAGGUAUGGCAUGGCCGCCCACUUGCAUGAACAACAGUUCAAUCGGACUGGGACUCCCCGUGUUUGAAACCUUUGAGUGAAAAACAGCCAUACUUUAAACCUUUUAGCUUUUAAAAUGUGUAACCGUGUUUAAGCAAGCUAUUGGCCAACAACAGGUUCACGUUACCUGAUGCCAGUAUAAGUACAUGAGUACAGUAUCAGACCCGAUACCUGAUAUCUGUGCACCCCUAAUCUGUGUGGUAUUAUGAGUUUAUUGGGUUAUAUAAUCGUAUGUGGAAAGUGUGGUCUCAUGACUACAUUACUAAAAGGUCUUAUCUUAUUUCCUGUUAUUCAGUCAGGAUCUUCGAUCCAUAACUUAUUUACAGUGAAUCCUGUUAUCAGUCAAUGCAUUCGUUGUCUGGGAAAACAGAGAGGUCAAUGGCCUUAUGUGGUAAAGAUAUGGGAUGGGAUAAGCGUCCAUCCUCUGCGUAUGAAACAAAUGAAUGCCUGAGAGAGGUUUAGUGGUUUUCUGCAGAAAAUACUCAGGUCUUUUGAUUGAAUAAAGA